rnacentral:misc_RNA from 1 species
ACCUUCUGAAGUACCAGAAAAUAAAUCUGACCAUAAUGCUGGCACCCUUCCUAAAAAGCAAAAUGAACCUGUUACACCUCAUGCAGGAUCUUCAAGCAUCAAAACUGAACUUGAGAACAAGAGAGAAUUGAAGAAUGAAAAGAAUAAAACAGAUAUUGCUACACCCAAAAGUAAUGGCAACUCAAGUUCAAAGCACUCGUUUCUUUUGGAUGAUGAUCAUGAUGGUAAUGAGUCGGGAACAGAGGAGGAGCAAUGGACAUUUAUGAAGGAGCUUGAAAAUUUCUUU